GCCUGGGUGGCUCAGUCGGUUAAGCAUCCGACUUCCACUCAGGUCAUGAUCUCAUGGCUUGUGGGUUCGAGCCCCAUGUCAGGUU
rfam:Felis catus isolate Cinnamon breed Abyssinian chromosome B3, whole genome shotgun sequence.